rnacentral:rRNA from 1 species
CCUGGUUGAUCUUGCCAGUAGUCAUAUGCUUGUCUAAAAGAUUAAGCCAUGCAAGUCUAAGUAUAUGCAUAUUUGAUAUGCAGAAACUGCGAACGGCUCAUUAAAACAGUUAUAAUCUACUUGACAUUCUACGCCCACAAAGAUCGCGCGUAAUAAGGAUAACUACGGAAAAUCUGUAGAUAAUACGAUGACGAAAGCGCUCGGAGUCAUAUAUACGCCAGUUGCAAGUAUUUGUUACCCCCGAUAAGAGAGAUUUGCCCGAACCAAGGAAUUAUUACAAAGAAGGAACACAUCAUGAAUUUUAAUUUGUGUAGUGUGUAUCAAUCGAGUAACUGACCUAUCAGCUGUCGAUGUUAGGGUAUUGGCUUAACAUGGCUAUGACGGGUAACGGGGAAUUAGAGUUCGAUUCCGGAGAGGGAGCCUGAGAAAUAGCUACCACAUCUAAGGACGGCAGCAGGCGCGUAAAUUACCCAAUUCUAAAGAAGAGAGGUAGUGACAAGAUAUUACAAUACAAGGCCAUUUCAUGGUUUUGUAAUUGGAUUGAGAGGAAUAUAAAAACUUCCUAAGAUAACCAUUGGAGGGCAAGUCUGGUGCCAGCAGCCGCGGUAAUUCCAGCUCCAAUAGCGUAUAUUAAAAUUGUUGCAGUUAAAACGCUCGUAGUUGAAUUUCAAAGAGUCAUGGCGUUUCUGAGGUGCUCCUUGGUCGAUCUGCCCAGCACUGACUCUAUGAUUUUAUUGUAGAGCAGUGUGACUGGGUGUUCGAUUUCAAGAAAGUGUCUCCUUUACAAAGUGAUUUUUCUAAGGGUCUCUUGAGUACCAGUCCUUGGGAGGUUCUUUUUACCUUGAGUAAAUUAGAGUGUUUAAAGCAAACAGAUAGAACAGUUUACUGUGUUUAAAUACUACAGCAUGGAAUAAUAAUAUCGAAUGAGCCGACGUACUUUUCGUUUCUUUGUUAUUUUGGCUUAGUUACGAUUAACAGGAAUAGUUGGGGGCAUUUGUAUUCAGAUGUCAGAGGUGAAAUUCUAAGAUUAUCUGGAGACGAACAAUUGCGAAAGCAUCUGUCUAACAUAUUUUCAUUAAUCAAGAACGAAAGUUAAGGGAGUGAAGACGAUCAGAUACCGUCGUAAUCUUAACCAUAAACUAUGCCAACUAUGUUUUGGAUGUAUGAGAAAAAGAUGGAAUACUUUGUUUUACGACAUUGUCAUUCCAUUUAUGCUUCAUUCAGUACCUUAGAGAAAUCAAAGUCUUUGGGUUCUGGGGCGAGUAUUCGCGCAAGCGAGAAAGUUAAAAGAAUUGACGGAAGGGCACCACCAGACGUGGAGCUUGCGGCUUAAUUUGACUCAACACGGGAAAACUCACUAGUAUAAGACAAGAGUAGGAUUGACAGAUUAAUAGCUCUUUCUUGAUUUCUUGGAUGGUGAUGCAUGGCCGUUUUUAGUUCGUGAAUAUGAUUUGUCUGGUUAAUUCCGAUAACGAACGAGACCUUAACCUGCUAGUUAGCGGCCGGUAUGUCGCGAAUUUAUCAAAAUCUUAUCUCGUAGGCUGGAUUAUUUUUAGAAGAUAUGACGGAUAACCGAGUCGAGUGUCGUCCCCAUCACUGUUCUAUUAAUUCGCAGUCUGUCCUGGUUUUUUUUUAGGUAAGUAUGUAUCCGCUUGAAUGUAAGCUUCUUAGAGGUACGAUGUGUGCUUAACACAAGGAAGUUUAAGGCAACAACAGGUCUGUAAUGUCCCUAGAUAUACUAGGCUGCACGCGUGCUACAAUGAUAUGUAUAACGAGUUAUUUAAAAUAUGGCUCUGUAAAUUUUAAUUUAUGUGUUACUGAGGAUAUGUGUGCUUGUGUAUGUCAAUCGACGAGUUACUAAAGGUAUGUGCGGGUAUAUAAAAUCACGAGUUAAUAAUAGUGUUUGCUUGUGCAUAUGCAAUGACAAGUCACUGUAGAUAUGUGAAUGUAAAUGUAAAUUGUAAAUUUAUCAAUGAUAUGUUCUUGUUCAUGUAAAAAUGACAAGUUACGAAGUAAGUAGGUGUUUAAUUGUUAAUAUAAGUUCUAAAG